AACGGGUGAGUAACACGUGAGUAACCUGCCCUUAACUCUGGGAUAAGCCUGGGAAACUGGGUCUAAUACCGGAUAGGAGCGUCCACCGCAUGGUGGGUGUUGGAAAGAUUUAUCGGUUUUGGAUGGACUCGCGGCCUAUCAGCUUGUUGGUGAGGUAAUGGCUCACCAAGGCGACGACGGGUAGCCGGCCUGAGAGGGUGACCGGCCACACUGGGACUGAGACACGGCCCAGACUCCUACGGGAGGCAGCAGUGGGGAAUAUUGCACAAUGGGCGCAAGCCUGAUGCAGCGACGCCGCGUGAGGGAUGACGGCCUUCGGGUUGUAAACCUCUUUCAGUAGGGAAGAAGCGAAAGUGACGGUACCUGCAGAAGAAGCACCGGCUAACUACGUGCCAGCAGCCGCGGUAAUACGUAGGGUGCGAGCGUUAUCCGGAAUUAUUGGGCGUAAAGAGCUCGUAGGCGGUUUGUCGCGUCUGUCGUGAAAGUCCGGGGCUUAACCCCGGAUCUGCGGUGGGUACGGGCAGACUAGAGUGCAGUAGGGGAGACUGGAAUUCCUGGUGUAGCGGUGGAAUGCGCAGAUAUCAGGAGGAACACCGAUGGCGAAGGCAGGUCUCUGGGCUGUAACUGACGCUGAGGAGCGAAAGCAUGGGGAGCGAACAGGAUUAGAUACCCUGGUAGUCCAUGCCGUAAACGUUGGGCACUAGGUGUGGAGACCAUUCCACGGUUUCCGCGCCGCAGCUAACGCAUUAAGUGCCCCGCCUGGG
rnacentral:rRNA from 1 species